CAAAUCAAAAUAACUUAAGCAACAUUUUAAAAGAAUGCAGAGUUUAGGUUAUUGUAUGAAUUUAAAAUAUUCUCACUAAUGUGACAUUUUAAUACAUUUAAAAUACUGUACAUUGCUAAACCUGCUUUAUCUUACUUCUCUUUCCUCUUUUUUUCCGAAUGAAGCUACUGUCAAAUUCUUCAGUUGUUCACUUUUAAAUAGAUCUAAUGUCCUAUUUUUCAGACCACUGAACCUAUAUAAUAUCCAUGAAGCUAGUAUAACUCUGCAGACAUCCUAGCUAUUCAGGCAAUGUUAUAAAGGCAUCAUCAUUGUUCAUUUGUCUGAUCUCUAUGUAUCUUGUCAUCUUUCCAGGGUAAGAUUGCCAAGGUCUUGGACUCUUCAUUUGGUGGAGUCUAAUUCUGUUCUCUUUACAAAGAGCUAGGGUUACACUCAGCAAAGGUUACCAUUUACGUGAGACAUGAAGCCGGCUAGCGUAACGCAUCACCAAAGUAAAACCCCUGGCUAUUUUUUCCCUCAAGGACAUCCCCAGUGCCACAUAAAAUCAAGAAAGAACACUUCAGGAUAGGUCACACGUAGGGCCUGCAUGUACUAUGAACCCACACUUUCAUUUUUAUAUUCUGGAGUGCGCUAUUUUCAGAACAGUCAGACAAAGGGGUAUUUUUCCUUUUGAAAAAUCUCCUUUUCUCUCCCCUAGAGGAAAAUACAUGAGAAUCAAAUGUAAGAGACUACAGUGGCUUUAGCAAGAGAAGCCAAUAUUUAAGGAUCAGGGACAGGAAACAGGAAACUCCUUCUUGGCCUCCCCACCCCAUGGAUUAAAUGGUAGCAGGGGCUGCCUGGUGCCUUGCCCAUGAAGCUUGACUAUUCAUGCUUAGAAGGAGGAGCAUCAUGAACAUUAAGAAACCAGAUGGAGUCUCGCUCUGUCGCCCAGGGUGGAGUGCAGUGGCGCAAUCUCGGCUCACUACAAUCUCCGCCUCCUGGGUUCACGCCAUUCUCCUGCCUCAGCCUCCCGAGUAGCUGGGACUACAGGCGCCCGCCACCACGCCCGGCUAAUUUUUUUGUAUUGUUAGUAGAGACGGGGUUUCACUGUGUAAGCCAGGAUGGUCUUGAUCUCCUGACCUCGUGAUCCACCCACCUUGGCCUCCCAAAGUGCUGGGAUUACAGGCGUGAGCACCGCGCCCGGCCAUAAAAGUACUUUUAAGUCCUUUUAAAAGUAAAGUCCUUCUGGGACUUUAAUGGACUGUCUGGU
rnacentral:lncRNA from 1 species